CUGUAUCUAAACUAUGUUAAAGAUACAUGGAAAAGAGAUGACAUCACAGAGCUGAUUUUGUUCUUUUAGCCUUCUGUUCAGCUGAAGUUGAGCAGCGGUAAUGAGUCAUGCUGUCUUGUGACCAGCCGGGCACUUUUCCAAUCAGAGAGACUGUUAAGAUCUCUGACAACAGAACCUGUCAUUGUUUGAAGAGUAGAUAUCAACGGUGACCUGUAUACUUGGUGAUCCAGGCUUCUGUGAGUAACAAAAUGCGUUCCCAUCCCUGCUGAAUGACAGAACACCAGUAAUGAGGUAGCACUUAGUAAAGCUGACUCAUUUCCUCGUUUAUAGAUGAAGGAGAUUGUCCAAGAAAUAAUCUCCCAGAUCCAGCUUGUUUGCCCGGAGGAAAGAAUUCAUUGAACAGCCACAGACUACAUUCCAGAACGUUAGCCAAGCACUUUGCAACAGGGUACCAUUGGGUCAUAGCAAGGCCUGCCACCACUCCUGGCAGAGCGACUCCAAAUACCUGCCCAUGGGACAGAGGUCUGGUUGCAGGAGCACUCUCGGACUUUCUUGUCAACGCGCUCGCCCACACUAGCAGCUCCCACGUCUGCGGCUUGACAAAGAGCUGCUCUUCCUCAGCUGUCAGCAUCUGUCUGAGCGGAACCACUGCGUUUCCCGGAGGAAAUCCGGCUGCAGCCGCCCCUGCGCACAGGCUUGCCCUUCGCCUCUCCCUGCUGGCCUGGCGGCGGGCAUUCUGCUCCCAUUCUGCCCCCAGGCUCCCAGGCGGGGAUUUCUUCCCGCCCUUCUCCCAUCCCCACGCCCUCCCCCAGUCUCACUGACCACUGCUGUCAACUGGCGCCUGCCUUCUUGCAGACAGGAGAGGGUCUGCUGUCAUGUUCCUGAUGCUGUGAGGAGAGCCCUGGGUGACAAUUUGGCACUUCUGCCCCGUGUUCAGAAUUUCAGCGAGUGGUGACCCUCGCUUUAGGACCAAGCAUCCCCUCCAGCCUGACAAUUUAGAGCAGCGUGCACAGAUGCUGUGUCCAUCUGCAUUAAUGUCAUUGGACAGGAGUCAUUUCAGCCUCCGCCGAGUCUUUCAGUUUUUCACUUUUUGGGAAAUGCACUAUUAAUACAAUUUGUCACUAUUCUCUAAGGAGCACUUAUUAUGCUGGGAUUUUAGUAUGUUUUACCAAUUUAGUUGUCAU